AAGAGUCAGAGAGAGAGAGCGAGAGAGAGCGAAGAGUCAGAGAGCGAGAGAGAGCGAGAGAGAGCAAGAAGUCAGAGAGCGAAGAGUCAGAGAGCGAGAGAGAGCGAAGAGUCAGAGAGCGAGAGAGAGCGAGAGCGAGAAGAGCGAGAGCGAGAAGAGCGAGAGCGAGAAGAGCGAGAGAGAGCGAGCGAGAAGAGCGAGAGAGAGCGAGCGAGCGAGAAGAGUCAGAGAGAGCGAGCGAGCGAGAAGAGUCAGAGCGAGCGAGAAGAGUCAGAGCGAGCGAGCGAGCGAGCGAGAAGAGUCAGAGCGAGCGAGCGAGAAGAGUCAGAGCGAGCGAGAAGAGUCAGAGCGAGCGAGCGAGCGAGAAGAGUCAGAGCGAGCGAGAAGAGUCAGAGCGAGCGAGCGAGAAGAGUCAGAGCGAGCGAGCGAGCGAGAAGAGUCAGAGCGAGCGAGAAGAGUCAGAGCGAGCGAGAAGAGUCAGAGCGAGCGAGAAGAGUCAGAGCGAGCGAGAAGAGUCAGAGAGAGCGAGCGAGCGAGAAGAGUCAGAGAGAGCGAGCGAGAAGUCAGAGCGAGCGAGAAGAGUCAAAGCGAGCGAGAAGAGUCAGAGCGAGCGAGAAGAGUCAGAGCGAGCGAGCGAGAAGAGUCAGAGCGAGCGAGCGAGAAGAGUCAGAGCGAGCGAGCGAGAAGAGUCAGAGCGAGCGAGCAGAGUCAGAGAGAGCGAGCGAGCAGAGUCAGAGAGAGCGAGCGAGAGAGAAGAGUCAGAGAGAGCGAGCGAGAGAGAAGAGUCAGAGAGAGCGAGCGAGAGAGAAGAGUCAGAGAGAGCGAGCGAGAGAGAAGAGUCAGAGAGAGCGAGCGAGAGAGAAGAGUCAGAGAGAGCGAGCGAGAGAGCGAGCGAGAAGAGUCAGAGUGAGCGAGCGAGAGAGAAUAGUCAGAGAGAGAGAGCGAGCGAGAAGAGUCAGAGUGAGCGAGCGAGAGAGAAGAGUCAGAGAGAGCGAGCGAGCGAGAGAGAAGAGUCAGAGCGAGAGAGAAGAGUCAGAGCGAGAGAGAGAAGAGUCAGAGCGAGAGAGAGAAGAGUCAGAGCGAGAGAGAGAAGAGUCAGAGCGAGAGAGAGAAGAGUCAGAGCGAGAGAAAGAGGCAGAGAGAAGAGAAGAGGCAGAGAGAGAGAGAGAGAGAGAGAGAGAGAGAAGAGAAGAGGCAGAGAGAGAGAGAAGAGAAGAGGCAGAGAGAGAGAAGAGAAGAGGCAGAGAGAGAGAGAAAAGAGGCAGAGAGAGAGAAGAGAAGAGGCAGAGAGAGAGAGAAAAGAGGCAGAGAGAGAGAGAGAGAGAGAGAGAGAGAGAGAGAGAGAGAGAGAGAGAAGAGACAGAGAGAGAGAAGAGACAGAGAGAGAGAAGAGACAGAGAGAGAGAAGAGGCUGAGAGAGAGAAGAGGCUGAGAGAGGAGGGAGCGAAGAUGCUGAGAGAGGAGGGAGAGAGAAAAGAGGCUGAGAGAGGAGGCUGAGGGAGAGAGGAUAGAGAGAGAGAAAGAGAGGAGAGGGAAAGCAAAAGAAAGUAGGGUAGAGAGUGAGGUUGUGUGUCCAGGCAUUAAGGGCCUCCAGCCAGCUCUGCGGUCGAGGGCUGAAAUCUGCCGCCGUAAACAGGAUGUGAAAGAUUUCCAGACAUCGACCACUCACGCCAAAUUUAAACCCAUUUGUGGUCGGAGCAGAAAGAGGGAAGAAAACAGAAAGAGGCUUUGAAGGGAGAGACGUGGGCUCAUAGGCCCAAUUUGGAACACAUCAGCUUUGGGCGGGGGUAGCUAUUUUGCAGCCUUAGCAAAUUUCUAACAAUCAGGUCUGUCAUUAUUGGGCUUUUCACAGCUAUAACCACACUUAUCUGUCAUGUACAUUUACGUCUUGAUUGCUGUUGCAUGUAUAAUAUGUUAGGUCGUGUUGUUAACAUUGAUCCAGUCAUCGAAGUUUGGCCAUGUUAAUCACUUUUGAUAAGAGGGCUCAACUCAAAAUAAGUCCAUCCUGAGGCUCAACUUAUAUUUGGGCCUUCUGGUAUUUCAGGUAGGCCUGUGUGUGUGUGCGCGCAUGAGAAAGAGAGAGAGAGAGCAAGAGAGGGGGAGGGAAGGCUAGGGAGAUAUACUGUAGAGUGCUGUAUGUUUAAUUCUAUACUCUGGACUCCUGCGGUUGACACUGAACCUAGUGAGAAACAGAGUGGGUCGGCAGUCAGCCGCCAAGCCGGUCCGUUUUAUGUGCCAAACACAGAAAGGUGAUGAAAAUGUGAUACUGCCUAGAGACUUGAAACAGUAACCCAACUGGGCCUCCAUUAAUCCUCUUCUCAUCCUCCCUCAGUCUUUCUGGGGAAAGGACGUGUGGCCUCUGUAGGGGGAGGAGGAUGUUAGGGGGGCUGCAGUAAGGUCCCCCUCCCCCCCAGCAUCUGUUAGUCCUUUCCACCUAACCACCCCUUACUAUAUUCAACCUGCACUUAUCCCACAUUAACACUCCUCUGGGUGUCUGAGUGUGUGUGUGUCUGACUCAGUGACCUUCAGAGAGUGUGUAGUGUGUGUGUGCGCGUUUGUAGUUUGCGUGUGCUGUACACGUACGAUCUGACCUCCCUUCCACCCCACGUCUUCCCCAAGGCCUCUCCAUGUAUUAUGUCAUCUCAGGUAGGUUUGAUGGAACUUUCCUUUAUAUAUCCCGAGAAACAGAAUGCCGUCAAAACAAAAGUUAUGGGUCAUUCCACGAAAUGAGUCCCUUUUGAAUCCCUUUGAUAUUUAAAAAAAGGCCCAAUGCAGCCAUUUUUAUCUCAAUAUCAAAUCAUUUCUGUGUAACAAUUACAUACCUUAUUGUGAUUGUUUCUUUUUGACUAUUUUGAUUGACAACAAACGGCUUUUUAGCAAAGAGCAAUUUUCCUAGCAAGAAUUUUUCUAGGACUGUCAGAGUGGGGAGGGGAAAACUGAAAACUAGCCGUUAUUGGUAGAGAGGUUUGGAACUCUUUCUUAUUGGUCUAUUAACUAAUUUACCGACUGGUGUUGUCACCAGACAGGCCAAAACUCCAUCAAACCAAAACAGGCAAAAAUGUCACAUUUAUUUUCAAACAGCUCUUACACUUAAAGGGCAUUAUCAUCCUUUAUCAUGCUAGUGUGGAAAUAUCUAUAAAACUUUUUGGGGAAGUUUGUAAUCAAUUGCCACUGCCUGUUGCACACAAAAAGCUUACAUACCUCCUCCAGCCAGUGAGGAUUUACAGUUAUUUAAGAUGAAAUGGUCAACCCUGUUACUUUAUUUGGCACUUAAUAGGCACUUACUAAAGUCAUUUCUUUUAUUCAACCUCUUGAAAAACAUAUUUUUUAUGACAAUGUUAAAAUUAUGUAAAAUAAAAUGUUUUACACCAAAUUACACUUCCCAAAAGGGACUCCUUUUGUGGAAUGGCCCUUAUUCAACCAGAGCACUAUAUAUCCCACAUGCUGAAGGACACUGGGAUAUACAGAGAAAUGGAUCUCUGAAGCCAGAUCUAACAUGGUUAUUCCAAAAAGUCCUUUAGUCAGUGAUUUAAAAACCAUGGCUGAGGUUUGGGCUGAGCUCCAGGAGCAGACAGCACAGCAGGCUACAGCUAUGCAGAGGAGAUGUUGUACUACACUUACCAGCCAGGAGAUGGUGCUAUUUCUCAACCCAGUGAGUCUGACUUGACUGAGCUUAGACAGUUUAUAUAUUCUAUAUCUGUGGUGCUGAAUACAUGCAUUGGUUUUCAUACAAAUAUAUCUCAAUGACGACUGUGGUCCUCAGUCAGUGAGAUCUAGUAUAUUGUUGGCCUUUAUCCCCAGUACAUAAUAUAAGUACAUCUGAGCUUUGAGGUCUGCUUCUCCUGUGAACAAUAGUAAUAAAGACCAGCCUUACUAUCCCCCUUCAUGACCUGUGCCUGUCAGUUUGUUCAUCAGUCUCUGAGAUGGGAG
rnacentral:lncRNA from 1 species